AAAACGACUCUCGGCAACGGAUAUCUCGGCUCUCGCAUCGAUGAAGAACGCAGCGAAAUGCGAUACUUGGUGUGAAUUGCAGAAUCCCGUGAACCAUCGAGUUUUUGAACGCAAGUUGCGCCCAAAGCCUUUUGGCCGAGGGCACGUCUGCCUGGGUGUCACGCAACAU
rnacentral:rRNA from 1 species